AACGAACGCUGGCGGCAGGCCUAACACGUGCAAGUCGAACGCGAAAGUCCUUCGGGAUGAGUAGAGUGGCGGACGGGUGAGUAACGCGUAGGAAUCUAUCCUGUAGUGGGGGAUAACGUUUCGAAAGGAACGCUAAUACCGCAUACGCCCCAAGGGGGAAAGCGGGGGAUCUUCGGACCUCGUGCUAUAGGAGGAGCCUGCGUCGGAUUAGCUAGUUGGGGAGUGAAAGGCUCACCAAGCCGACGAUCCGUAGCUGGUCUGAGAGGAUGAUCGGCCACACCGGAACUGAGACACGGUCCGGACUCCUACGGGAGGCAGCAGUGGGGAAUAUUGCGCAAUGGGCGAAAGCCUGACGCAGCCAUACCGCGUGUGUGAAGAAGGCCUUCGGGUUGUAAAGCACUUUCAGUGGGGAGGAAAAGCUGGUGGCUAAUAUCCAUCGGCCGUGACGCUACCCACAGAAGAAGCACCGGCUAAUUCCGUGCCAGCAGCCGCCGUAAAAC
rnacentral:rRNA from 1 species